GCCAUUCCCUGGCACCAGAGCGCGCCACGUCACGAAUUAAAAGAUCGGCCAUCGGAUCUAGCAUCGAACGGUGCUGGACAAUCUUCCAGAGGCAUCGAGCCUGGUCGCCUUCUCUUCCCCGUGCCCUCCCCCGCCGUCGCCUUCCGUUCCCCCUUCUCUUCCUCUCCAGCCCUGCCGCCGCCGCCGCACCUCCAAAUAAUCCUACAGCGCCAGCCCGGGCGAGCGACAGCGACUGUGAUGGCGCCUAAAAGGACUGCGGCGAUGCGGAAUCGGUGCCAGCCUGCCAGGACGCAGGGGCCUGGGGAGUCUGCACGCUCCCGUUCGCCUCGUGUUUGUCCCUACAACUCCCGCUACCGCCGGUGGCGCGGCGCUGCUCCAUUCCACCGCCACACCGCCUCCUCUCCCGCCCGCGGCCGCGGAUGCCUCGUUGCUCUCCCGGCACAUGGUCACGACCACCUCUGAGCCCUCACUUGCGUCGCGGCUGUUUGCAAGGGUCGUCGUUGUCAUUGGUGAGUUCCACGGUGGAAGCGCGGACAGGCAGCUGCGAAACGGGUGCAGUCGCAGGAUCGAGCUCUAUGCACGCAUCGGCGUCGAGCAUGAAAUGCCUAACGAUCCAGAAAUAUUGGUAGGCAUCUUACUUCAUGAAAUUUCUGAUGUAUUCUCGAAGAUAUUGCUACUCAUUUGGAAGUGUCAAUGGAAACACAUAUGAGAAUAUUUCAAUCAUCGUUAUAUUUGGUGGGCCUUUCGCUGCACCAUGUUUCAUUCUGACAUCGCUAGACAUUUUAAAACUUCAAGAUGGUCUUUCUGUUUUGAUCAAUGUGGUAAUUCAUUCAUGGUAAUUUGCUGAUUACAAACCAUGUUUUGCCAUUUUGCCAUUCUGACAUCUACUGGAUACAUUCUAUAUUAUUUAGCUUACCAGCUGUCUAUUUCCUGAGAAUUAUCGAGAUAAAAACAAACGUGGCUCUGAUUGCUAAUUUGCUAUCGCCUAUCCGGAGCUCUUUUGCAAUGGAAAAGGCAAAAUGAUAUAUUUUGAUUUUUUUCCCAUUUACUGACAUUUUUUAAGCAGAUAAUCUCUUCUGUUGAAACAACUCUUUCACAGGAAACCCAUACUAGAUUGCCCCUGAGGUAUGACAGUUGAAAGGAUCUGCCAUGCGUGGUUUCCAACUCCAGAGAUGUGUGAGUGUGUGACCUACUUGAAAUUCUUUAGGUUAUAGUGAAUAAAAAUGAGUACAGUCUUGAAGUUGAUAUCUGGAGCCUUCAUUCCACAAUUAUUGAAAUGGAAACUGGGAGACAUCCUCGGCACCAGUAUGAAGAUUGGCUCGGCCAUCCUUUUGUUCAGAACGACCAAGCAAUAGAAGCAACCAGACGCAAUAUCACUUAGUUGAGAAAUGGACUAUUCCUCGACAGAGGCAUGUCUUCAAAAGGUCACUUACCUACUCAUUCACUUCAAUUAAACUUCUUUUUUUAAUCUUUUACAAGCUUGUCCAGUCAUGUUAAAUGUUUGCUUUGCAAGGAUUCUUCAUACUUGCCUUCCCUUGCAUUUGGUUCCAAUGGAGUCCAACAAAGAACCUUCAUCCAAGAGAAGCAUUACUCCACUAGGGACAUCAGAGAAUUGACUGCACGUGAUUUGGCAAGGCUUUCUAUGCCUGCUCCUUCACAUUUUGUGAUCAUCCUUCACAAUUUUUGAUCAUCAUGUCUUCCUGGUCCAUCUGCUCAUCUCAGCAUCCUGGGUGAGAAGUGAGAACCACGAUUGUCCCACUGCAGGCAUAUCAGAGCAAGCAUGUUUGUCCCAAUGUCUAUGCUCAAACAUUUUACGGCAGUUCAAGCAAUCAAACUACAGUUCCCUUCCUCAUGAUGUCGAAUGGAGGAACAUUUUUUCAGUGAUGGAACAAUCUUCCUGGAUGAAGAUGCAUUUGUCCAAAACUGUUAACAUGUACUCUAUUAUUAUUUAAUGUUGGGCGUGGUAUGAUGUAACAAUGUGGUAUUCUAUUGCGUUGCGUGGCAUGGAGUUAUGUAUCAAAUGGUGGCAGCUAUAGCUUCUGCUCUGCCUGAUCUAUCGAGCCAUCCUUCUGUACGAGGCAAGAUCUCAAGGCGUGUCCCGUGAUUCGGUUGACAAGAAAUGGACGGUUUGGCCUAAUCCAAACCCACUUUUCCAGCGCUA